rnacentral:lncRNA from 1 species
CUGGAACCACGUGGAGAAGACUGUGAGGUGAAAACAUGCUACUCUCUGUCACAUACUGCCAGGUAGAUGCUUGCUGCUGGCAGAAGGCAUAGAAUAUUUUGUAAACUACCCUCUACGGCAGACACAUGCAGGCCAACCCAGAACCACCGAAGAAGAAUAAUGACAAAUCGAAAAAGAUCAGCCGGAAACCCCUGGCAGCCAAGAACAGAUAAGGAAGGGAUUGGCAUCGGCUGGCCUUCCAGCACCUUCUCUCUCCAACACUUCAUUCUCUCUUGCCCUGUCUCUCAAAUAAA